GUUUGACAAUACCAAUUCUUACUUUUUCCAAUACCUUUCCCCCAACAUAAUUCAGCCUUGUGGAUACCAAUUCUCUUUUCACUGUAUCCCCUUUAUGCUUUCCAUCUUUAUUUAUUCUUUUCUUUCAUUGGAGGGCAUCUUCUGAAUCUUCUUUCCCACUCAAGGGCUCUUGUGAAUUCUUGCUUCGCUUAGGAUUAUCCAACUCGACAAUAGUUUCUAUCUUGAACCUUCUGCAAUAAUGUUGUUAUUAACUUUGGUUUUAGCUCUGAAGGUGGAAGUCCAGUGUUCUUAAAUUUGUCUAUAUGUGCAUCAUGCAUUCUUCACAGCUUCAUGAUGAGGAGGCUUGAUUUCAUUACUCUGUGAGUAGUGAGGACUGAUCUUCCCCUAUUUAUCAUUAGUCAUAUUAUAUAAGGUAUCACUAUCUUAUCUCCCCUGAAGAGGCAUCUGGAACAUAAAGAAGUUUCCAGGAACUUCAACAUUGCACAGUGUUAUGAAAAAAAUAACUAUCUAUUGUGCUGAGAGCACAAGAAUAAUGGAAAAUUUCGAGUACAAUUUCCGUUACAAACAAGCAGCUCAAUUGAUCAGUAUCCUUCAAUUUCCAUCCUUCUGUUUAUCAGCAAGCAGCUUUCUAGUAUUGAUUCUGCACGUAGGUAAAUUGAUCCUUAACUUCUUUCAAUUUCAUCUUCUCUCAGAUGUGUUGAAUUACCCACAUCAGCUGCCUUAUGUGCCAUUUCCUAAUUAAUUAACAUCAAAUCAACAUGAACAUGUUACGUACAUAUAUAAUAAAUUUACUCGAAAAUAAUGCAUAUCAACGUUAAAAUCCAUGAUGAAUGAGCCCCAAACCUGAGUGGGUUGUGGGAUCCUUGGGUGUAAAGCAGUUGGAGAAGAAUGUGCCAGAGGGCUACGACUACGACUCCUACUGCUGUGUCGAGGAUCACCAUGUUGAUCAGCGUGAUGCCUUCCAAGUUCUUUCAAUCGGUUAAGCUCUGGCACUAUAACCGUGGCAAGAUUUGGCCUGUCCUUCUUUCUUAGUUCAGCACACUUGAGUGCCAUUUUAGCAAAGUUUAACGUCUCUUCAACAGGCCAGUCUGUCACAGAGGGGUCAAGCAUCUCUUCAAAUGUUCCUCUUUCAAUGGCCUUCCCCACCUGAUGUGCAAGACCCAUUGGAGAUUUGGCGGUGAUAAUUUGAAGCAACAUUAUUCCCAACGAGUAUAUAUCUGAUCUUGUAGUUAACAUUCCUGUUUGUUGAUACUCAGGAUCUAUGUAACAAAAUGUACCUGCAGCUGAUGUAAUGUGAUAUUGAGUGACACUAUCAGCUACUGAUGGUGGGACUAAGCGUGCCAGGCCAACAUCACUAAUCUUGCUCACAAAAUUACGGUCUAAGAGGAUGUUAGCUGGUUUAAGGUCCCGAUGGACAAGGGGCUCUGGCUUUGCUUGGUGGAGGAAUAGAAGGGCAGUUGCAAUCUCAGAAGCUAUCUUAAAUCUUCUCCUCCAUGAAAUUGGAUGGGUGUUGUCUCUUCGAAGCAGCCUAUCUUCCAAGCUGCCAUUUUCCAUGUAUUCAUAUACCAAGCAUCCGUACUCAGGGCAGGCUCCAAGAAGAAGGACCAUGUUUGGAUGUCUGAUGCAGCUCAAAACCUCAACCUAUGCAUUAUCAAAUUGGAAAGAACAUUAAAUAAACAAGGUUCCAAUAACACUUCCCAAUUAAGUUAUUGAGGCACCUCACCUCCUGUUGGAAUUGCUUCUUCCCUUGAGCAGCAUCUGGUCUUAGAACCUUGAUGGCAACGGGUGUGUGAUCAAGUGUGCCUUUGUACACAGGUCCGUAUCCUCCUUCACCAAUUUUAUUUGAUUGUGAGAAUUUUUCUGUGGCUGCUUCGAUCUCUUCAAUAGUGUAUUUUCUGUACCGCACAUCAUUAUGUGCUAGAGCAUUCAGGGCACGAUUCUUCUCUGCCGAUUCUCUUUUGGCUUUCAUCUCUGCAUAUUUUCUUCUUUGUGCUUCCAUCUCCGCUAGCCUCUGUGCUUUAUCUGCUGCUUCCAUAGCAGCCUUGCACUUGGCCUUUUCCAUCUCUGCUAUGGCAAGAGCUGCCUCUUCUGCAAGCCUAGCUUCCUCGAACCUCCGGGCCUCCUCCAUUUUCCAUUGAUGAAGCUCACUAGCCUGAAUGCAAAGCAUUCAGAAUUAAAGCUUUUUGAUUUAUUCUCGGUUCUCAAAACUUAUUACUUUCUGAACAAGUCUACACAAGAUGGUAUGAGAUAUAAUUCAUGUAGAAUCUUCAAUACAUGUAGCCAUGGUAAAAUAUUACCUUCUUUUUGGCUGA